rnacentral:rRNA from 1 species
GACGAACGCUGGCGGCGUGCUUAACACAUGCAAGUCGAACGGAAAGGCCCUGCUUUUGUGGGGUGCUCGAGUGGCGAACGGGUGAGUAACACGUGAGUAACCUGCCCUUGACUUUGGGAUAACUUCAGGAAACUGGGGCUAAUACCGGAUAGGAGCUCCUGCUGCAUGGUGGGGGUUGGAAAGUUUCGGCGGUUGGGGAUGGACUCGCGGCUUAUCAGCUUGUGGGUGGGGUAGUGGCUUACCAAGGCUUUGACGGGUAGCCGGCCUGAGAGGGUGACCGGCCACAUUGGGACUGAGAUACGGACCAGACUCCUACGGGAGGCAGCAGUGGGGAAUAUUGCACAAUGGGCGGAAGCCUGAUGCAGCAACGCCGCGUUCGGGAUGACGGCCUUCGGGUUGUAAACCGCUUUCGCCUGUGACGAAGCGUGAGUGACGGUAAUGGGUAAAGAAGCACCGGCUAACUACGUG